AUUGCCCCAGUAACGGCGAGUGAAGCGGCAAUAGCUCAAAUUUGAAAUCUGGCUCUUUCAGGGUCCGAGUUGUAAUUUGCAGAGGGCGCUUUGGUGUCGGCAGCGGCCUAAGUUCCUUGGAACAGGUCAUCAUAGAGGGUGAGAAUCCCGUAUGUGGCUGCUUGUCUUCACCGUGUAAAGCCCCUUCGAUGAGUCGAGUUGUUUGGGAAUGCAGCUCUAAAUGGGAGGUAAAUUUCUUCUAAAGCUAAAUAUUGGCCAGAGACCGAUAGCGCACAAGUAGAGUGAUCGAAAGAUGAAAAGCACUUUGGAAAGAGAGUCAAAAAGCACGUGAAAUUGUUGAAAGGGAAGCGCUUGCAGCCAGACGUGCCCGUAGUUGCUCAUCUGGGGAUUUCCCCAGUGCACUCUUCUAUGGGCAGGCCAGCAUCAGUUCGGGCGGUUGGAGAAAGACCUGUGUCACGUAGCUCUCUUCGGGGAGUGUUAUAGGGCAGGUGGAAUGCAACCAGCCUGGACUGAGGUCCGCGCAUCUGCUAGGAUGCUGGCGUAAUGGCUGUAAGCGGCCCGUCUUGAAACACGGACCAAGGAGUCUAACAUCUAUGCGAGUGUUUGGGUGUCAAGCCCGAGCGCGUAAUGAAAGUGAACGGAGGUGGGAACCCCUCGGGGUGCACCAUCGACCGAUCCUGAUGUCUUCGGAUGGAUUUGAGUAAGAGCAUAGCUGUUGGGACCCGAAAGAUGGUGAACUAUGCCUGAAUAGGGUGAAGCCAGAGGAAACUCUGGUGGAGGCUCGCAGCGGUUCUGACGUGCAAAUCGAUCGUCAAAUUUGGGCAUAGGG
rnacentral:rRNA from 1 species